rnacentral:misc_RNA from 1 species
GGAAGUAAAAGUCGUGACAAGGUAUCCGUAGGUGAACCUGCGGAAGGAUCAUUAUAGAAUUGUUCGAAUUCCAUACGGGCAUUUUCUAAAAAUCCGUAUCCACACCGGUAGGGUUUUCAUUUUCCUUCUGGGAAAAAGGGGGCCCUUGCCGUAGGGUUCUGUUCUCUUUCUUUUAAGGGGAUGGUUCCUGUCUGACCCAUGCCUAUAAUUUUAUUUUGUCUGAACUUUUUAUAAAUAUAUAAAAACUAAAACAACUUUCAACAACGGAUCUCUUGGCUCUC